AGAGUUUGAUCAUGGCUCAGAAUCAACGCUGGCGGCGUGCCUCAGACAUGCAAGUCGAACGAUUAAGACUCCCUUCGGGGAGUGUAUAAAGUGGCGUACGGGUGAGUAACACGUAAGUAAUCUACCUUCGAGUGGGGAAUAACAGUCGGAAACGACUGCUAAUACCGCAUAAUGCAGCGGCAUCGAAAGAUGACAGUUGUUAAAGGAGCAAUUCGCUUGAAGAGGAGCUUGCGGCAGAUUAGCUAGUUGGUAAGGUAAUGGCUUACCAAGGCUACGAUCUGUAUCCGGUCUAAGAGGACGGUCGGACACACUGACACUGAAUAACGGGUCAGACUCCUACGGGAGGCAGCAGUCGGGAAUUUUGGGCAAUGGGCGAAAGCCUGACCCAGCAACGCCGCGUGAAGGAUGAAGUUUUUCGGAAUGUAAACUUCGAAAGAAUGGGAAGAAUAAAUGACGGUACCAUUUAUAAGGUCCGGCUAACUACGUGCCAGCAGCCGCGGUAAUACGUAGGGACCAAGCGUUGUUCGGAUUUACUGGGCGUAAAGGGCGCGUAGGCGGCAAUUCAAGUCAGCUGUGAAAUCUCCGGGCUUAACUCGGAACGGUCAGCUGAUACUGUUUUGCUAGAGUGCAGAAGGGGCAAUCGGAAUUCUCGGUGUAGCGGUGAAAUGCGUAGAUAUCGAGAGGAACACCUGAGGUGAAGACGGGUUGCUGGGCUGACACUGACGCUGAUGCGCGAAAGCCAGGGUAGCAAACGGGAUUAGAUACCCCGGUAGUCCUGGCCCUAAACGAUGAAUACUUGGUGUCUGGAGUCAUUAUUGCUCCGGGUGCCGUCGCUAACGUUUUAAGUAUUCCGCCUGGGGAGUACGCACGCAAGUGUGAAACUCAAAUGAAUUGACGG
rnacentral:rRNA from 1 species